UACGUAGGGGGCAAGCGUUGUCCGGAUUCAUUGGGCGUAAAGCGCGGGCAGGCGGCCCGUUAAGUCGGCCGUGAAAGCGCCGGGCUCAACUCGGCGAGGACGGGCGAGACUGACGGGCUCGAGGUUGGCAGAGGGCGGUGGAAUUCCGGGUGUAGCGGUGGAAUGCGUAGAGAUCCGGAAGAACACCGGGUGGCGAAGGCGGUCUGCUGGGCCAAGGCUGACGCUGAGGCGCGACAGCGUGGGGAGCAAACAGGG
rnacentral:rRNA from 1 species